GUGUGGCGAGUGAAGCGGCGGGGUGACCCAGCCGUGGACGCCACACGAGUGAGAAUGCAGGCAUGAGUAGCGAAAGACGUGUGAGAAACACGUCCUCCGAAAGACCAAGGGUUCCAGGGUCAAGCUAAUCUUCCCUGGGUAAGUCGGGACCUAAGGCGAGGCCGACAGGCGUAGUCGAUGGACAACGGGUUGAUAUUCCCGUACCGGCGAAGAACCGCCCAAGUCAAUCCAGUGGUGCUAAGAGUCCUAGCUCAGAAUUGUUUGGAUCCCUUCGGGGUGAUGGACGUCUGUGUGAACGCUCGACCCCAUGCUGGUGCGGCUAGCGUAUUAACAGGUGUGACGCAGGAAGGUAGCCCAAGCCAGGCGAUGGUAGUCCUGGUGCAAGUGCGUAGGCCGAGUGAUAGGCAAAUCCGUCACUCAUUGAGGCUGAGACACGAUGCGGAUAAAAAGUGGGUGAUCCUAUGCUGCCAAGAAAAGCAUCGACGCGAGGUUCAAGCCGCCCGUACCCCAAACCGACUCAGGUGGUCAGGUAGAGAAUACCAAGGAGAUCGAGAGAAUCGUGGUUAAGGAACUCGGCAAAAUGCCCCCGUAACUUCGGGAGAAGGGGGGCCAUCCACUUAUUAGGACUUGCUCCGAAAGGGUGUGGUGGCCGCAGAGACUAGUGGGUAGCGACUGUUUACUAAAAACACAGGUCCGUGCCAAGUCGCAAGACGAUGUAUACGGACUGACGCCUGCCCGGUGCUGGAAGGUUAAGAGGACCGGUUAGCCGUAAGGCGAAGCUGAGAAUUUAAGCCCCAGUAAACGGCGGUGGUAACUAUAACCAUCCUAAGGUAGCGAAAUUCCUUGUCGGGUAAGUUCCGACCUGCACGAAUGGCGUAACGACUUCCCAACUGUCUCAACCGCGAACUCGGCGAAAUUGCAUUACGAGUAAAGAUGCUCGUUACGCGCAGCAGGACGGAAAGACCCCGUGACCUUUACUACAGCUUGGUAUUGGUGUUCGGUGUGGCUUGUGUAGGAUAGGUGGGAGACUGUGAAGCAUUCACGCCAGUGAGUGUGGAGUCAUUGUUGAAAUACCACUCUGGUCACUCUGGAUAUCUAACUUAGGACCGUGAUCCGGUUCAGGGACAGUGCCUGGUGGGUAGUUUAACUGGGGCGGUUGCCUCCCAAAAUGUAACGGAGGCGCCCAAAGGUUCCCUCAACCUGGUUGGCAAUCAGGUGGCGAGUGUAAGUGCACAAGGGAGCUUGACUGUGAGACUGACAGGUCGAGCAGGGACGAAAGUCGGGACUAGUGAUCCGGCAGUGGCUUGUGGAAGCGCUGUCGCUCAACGGAUAAAAGGUACCUCGGGGAUAACAGGCUGAUCUUGCCCAAGAGUCCAUAUCGACGGCAUGGUUUGGCACCUCGAUGUCGGCUCGUCGCAUCCUGGGGCUGGAGUAGGUCCCAAGGGUUGGGCUGUUCGCCCAUUAAAGCGGUACGCGAGCUGGGUUUAGAACGUCGUGAGACAGUUCGGUCCCUAUCCGCUGCGCGCGUAGGAAGUUUGAGAGGAUCUGACCCUAGUACGAGAGGACCGGGUUGGACGAACCUCUGGUGUGUCAGUUGUUCCGCCAGGAGCACCGCUGAUUAGCUACGUUCGGGAUGGAUAACCGCUGAAAGCAUCUAAGCGGGAAGCCGGCCUCAAGAUGAGACUUCCAUGCCCUUCGGGGCGAGAGGCUCCCAGCCAGACUACUGGGUUGAUAGGCCGGAUGUGGAAGCGUAGCAAUACGUGAAGCUGACCGGUACUAAUAAGCCGAUGACUUGAUAAC
rnacentral:rRNA from 1 species